UAAGACCCGAUUCUCUGAGGAAGUAUGGGGAGACGGUUGAGAAAUGCCUUGCUGAUUAUGGCGUCGAGCGGCCCUCUUUAGGCGAUGUGUUGUGGAACUUGGAGUAUGCACUUCAACUGCAAGAGGCGGACUCCAGUGAGACUGAGGUGAACAGUAUGAACCGUAUUGUUGAGCUUUCUUCGCAAGUUCAAAACAUAAGCAAUCUUGAUACUGUUACCAUGGGGGUAGCGGGUACUGGUACUGGUACGACAAACAUGCAGGAUGCGAAUGAUCUUUCGGAUGUCUCCAUGAGUAGGGUCUUCUCGCAGUUGAUCAAG
rnacentral:misc_RNA from 1 species